ACGCAGGCGCGGCGCGGCGCGGCGCGCCGCAGCGACGCAGGGCUGUUGCCGGCGCGGGGGCGGGCGCUCACAUGACUUACCGGCGGUGGCUCCGCGGCGUGCGCCCUGCCAGGAGGGGCCUGUGCUCGAGGAGCAGGCCUGGCGAGUAGCCCAGCCACUCCACGUUGAGCCGGGACUUGCCGCGCAACAUGGUCCUCCUGGGCGGGCGGCGGCUACGCCGCCCCCUGAACUCGCGUGAACACUGGUCCUCGUCUGCGUCUCGGUCGCUGAGCUGGGGGCCGCAAGGAGACCCGAGCAUAUGAGCCGCGAAGAGGGACUACCAGCCAGAGGGCUGUGGUGCUAGGCAACUGAGCGUAUUCCGCCGACGACAACACAAAAAAGCAGUGCGCAUUAUUUCGCCACUACUUGAGCAAAUAAAUGCCUCAUUAAUUACUGCCCGCAGUGGUAGGAAGUCAAGCCCUUGGCAGCUGGGAGGAGUUAAAACACUCACCCGAGUCCGUAAAACUAGAGAAUGUCAGAGUUCAAAGAGCUCUUGCUGAGAAUGACUGUUCCAGACUCGAUGCCAGUGACCCCCAACUUCCACUUAAAAGUUAAAAACAUAUUUUGCAGCUGCUCAGAAAGCCGCCAAUGAGACAACAGGGACUCAAAUAGUAAGAACAGAUGGGCCUCCCGGGCCUGCGCAACCCGAGAGAGGUAAAAACGAAAGGGUGGGUAAGUCUGGAGUCAGGCUUGACAAAAUUAAGUUGCCACUGGCUGCUAAUAAGAGGACAGCCCUUAACAUGGUCAGCGCCUGGAAAGGGCCGCUGACCACACAGCUAUUUUCUGCACCACAUGGAUACAAAGACCACAUCUGAAAUCAUGACUAAACCAGCAGCUUAGAGUGGUGGAAAGGGCAAUGGACUGGGCAGCAGGAAGUCCAGGUUUUAGUUCAAACUGAAUAAUCCCCCUCUAGGGCUGACUGUGCUGGCUCACGCCUGUAAUCUCAACACUUUGGGAAGCUGAGGCAGGAGGAUUGCGUGAGGCCAGUAGUUCCAGAGCAGCUUGGGCAGCAUAGCAAGACUCCGUCUCUAAAAAACAAACUGUAAAAUAUUUAAUAAAAAUAAUAGUAAUCUCUAUCUGGGCCUCAUCUAGACCUUUAGGUGAGUAAGAACCACCUAAUGUAAGAACUUGGGGUACAAAGAGAAUCUAGCUCUGGGGUAGGCAAACUGAGCCAGCCGACCUAAUACAUGGAGCCUACCACCUGUUUUUCUACAGCCCUGAGGUAGAAAUAGUGAAACUAAGGGAAAUUUCAGUCUGGUGAGGACCUCACAAUGCCCCUUGCCUCCUGACUCUUGAAUGCCCUAAAAUUUACAUCAGGCUACCUCUUCCAGCUCUAUCUGCCAGAUAGCUAAGCUGGGAUCUCUGAGCUGGUGAAGGGACUUGCCCAUGGAGUCAAGGAAUGCUCAGGGUUCAUGCCUCAGGACUGUUCUCACCAACUUGACUCACCUUUGGGGCUCUAGUGGAGCCCGUGGGCCUUCCGGCAAACAGAAGUAGGCAAUGGGGGUCAGGAAAUGGCCCCCACUGCCUGUCCAGCGUGGUGCCAGCUCAGCCUAGGAUCCCAUGUCCCCUGGCACACCAGUGGUUUGAUAUAACCAGAGGAUCUCCUGCCCAUGAGGGGCGGCAGCGCUCCAGUUACCAACCCCCAAGUGAAAGAUCCUGGAUCAAGUCUUUCCUGAUUGGCCUGCACCCAGAGGCUACGCUACCAGAAGAGGAACUGGACAAGGGCACACCCCAAGAUAUACACGCGUUUUUUCCUUGAAAGGCCCAGGCUUUGAGGAGGCGAUCGCAACCAGUGGGCUGAAUAAAAGAGCAAGUGUCGGCACGGAGAGAGCUAGGCCCGGGCUCACCAAGACAUAGAGCCCGAGGGUUCUGAAAACACUGUUCACGGUGGAGCACGAGGCUCGAGCGCCAGAGACCUCGGAGUUGGGUUUCCACGUGGUUAUUCCCAGCGCCAAGUGGGCGGGGCAGGGGAGGGCGGGGCAAGGCCUCCUCCCAGCUUGGGCCACUCUGAUUGGUCCGCAGCAGCAUGUCUUUCCUGGCGAGUCUGGGCAGGCCAAGCAGCCCCGCCCACCCGCAGCCCAACGCAAAGGGGCGGGACCUAGAGCUGGCUGCAGACUGAGCGCCUUGCACCCAGCAGGUGUCGGGGUGAAAUCAGAGUGUCUAGCCCCUCAUCCCGUGGAGGCUGGCACCCUCGGCCUGAGCUGCACUCAUUGAGUAAACAAAUACAUAAUUGGUGAAUGCGUGAGUGGGUGAGAGAAAUCGAAGGGAAAACCCAAAAUUCUUCCAGGAUUUCAAUGAGAAAUAGCUAUAGAUUUUGUUUUGGUUGUUUUCGCUGUUCUCGGUUCUUACUUUUUCCAUAAUUGGGUGGAAAAAGUUAGAAACACUCGAGAGAGGAAGAAACUGCAAGAGGCAAAUGAAACCCAGGAGAAGCAAGGCAAGGAGGAGCUGGUGAUUCGAGAAUGUGUAAUAAAAAGACGUAAAAGAUGAAUAAAGUGCUCCAGGCCCGGGCAUGCCUGGCCCUUGGCUUCUUGGCUGAGUGGUCCCAGGCUGCACCUCUAGCUCCUGUCCUGGGAAGAAGAAAUCGCCUUACAAGAGGGGCGGAGUGAAGGGAGUGUAUGUGCUAGCGUGUGGGGCUGUGUGUAUGAGUGUGUGUGCAUUUGAGUAUGUGAGUGUGCUUCACUGUGUGUGUGAGGGUAUGUGUGACUGUGUGUGUGUACGCGCGCACGCAUGUGAGUUUGUCUACAUCAUUGGGGGAAAUAUAAUUAAAAACAAAAUCUUCUCCCAGCCCAGAUAACCUCUCCAUAAAGGUAGAAGAGAAAGAAAACAAUUUUCUUGAAUAAACAUUAAAUCAGAAUGUGAUAUGAAUCACAGGCAGCCAGCUAAAAGUAUUGCAAGGACAGAAAGAAACCUCACACUAGGCAUACCUCAGAGGUAUUGCAGUUUGGUUGCAGACCAGCACAAUAAAGCGAAUAUUGCAAUAAA
ensembl:lncRNA novel transcript, antisense to VMA21